AAGAGAGCUCGUUCAGCUCUUUUGGAAGGAGCUCUUGGGUGGCGCGACAGUUUGAUUGUGUGUGCUGUGCUGCAGAAGUUUUGUUUGUGUUCAGCGUUUGUAGUUUAUAAAGUAUUUAACUCAAUCAUCGGUGUGAUCGCUUUAGAUCGUGGUUGUUUUUGUUUGGGACCGCGCCCGUUAUGGAUCGCAUGGAUUAGUAGCAACAUUGUUGCGAAGCUUUAACAAACAAACCAACAAACCAUCGGACAGUCAGACACCGGCAGGCCUGAGGACCACAGCUAAGAUUUAUCUUUUCUCUCUCUUUCUCUUCGCUCUCAUUCCAGUGCUUUACCCUGCAACAGACUCUCGAUUUGUUAAAUGCACUUCCCAUUGAAGUUCAUUAGAGCUGGACUAUUAUUUCCCUGCCAGAAGUAUUUGUAUGGACAUUUUAGUAGGUUGCUUGCAAGUUGUAUAUUCUAAUCAAAUCAAAUCAAAUGUAUUUAUAUAGCCCUUCGUACAUCAGCUGAUAUCUCAAAGUGCUGUACAGAAACCCAGCCUAAAACCCCAAACAGCAAGCAAUGCAGGUGUAGAAGCACGGUGGCUAGGAAAAACUCCCUAGAAAGGCCAAAACCUAGGAAGAAACCUAGAGAGGAACCAGGCUAUGUGGGGUGGCCAGUCCUCUUCUGGCUGUGCUGGGUGGAGAUUAUAACAGAACAUGGCCAAGAUGUUCAAAUGUUCAUAAAUGACCAGCAUGGUCCAAUAAUAACAAGGCAGAACAGUUGAAACUGGAGCAGCAGCACAGUCAGGUGGACCGGGGACAGCAAGGAGUCAUCAUGUCAGGUAGUCCUGGGGCACGGUCCUAGGGCUCAGGUCAGUUGAAACUGGAGCAGCAGCAUGGCCAGGUGGACUGGGGACAGCAAGGAGUCGUCAUGUCAGGUAGUCCUGGGGCAUGGUCCUAGGGCUCAGGUCCUCCGAGAGAGAGAAAGAAUUAGAGGACGCACACUUAGAUUCACACAGGACACCGAAUAGGACAGGAGAAGUACUCCAGAUAUAACAAACUGAACCUAGCCCCCCGACACAAACUACUGCAGCAUAAAUACUGGAGGCUGAGACAGGAGGGGACAGGAGACACUGUGGACCCUUCCGAGGACACCCCCGGACAGGGCCAAACAGGAAGGAUAUAACCCCACCCACUUUGCCAAAGCACAGCCCCCACACCACUACAGGGAUAUCUUCAACCACCAACUUACCAUCCUGAGACAAGGCUGAGUAUAGCCCACAAAGAUCUCCGCCACGGCACAGCCCAAGUGGGGGGGGUGCCAACCCAGACAGGAUGACCACAACAGUGAAUCAACCCACUCAGGUGACGCACCCCCUGCAGGGACGGCAUGAGAGAGCCCCAGCAAGCCAGUGACUCAGCCCCUGUAAUAGGGUUAGAGGGUUAUUAUGUGAACUGUAUUGAGGUGGGGUGUACUAAUGACAUGUGGCCGAGAAGACUGUGGACAUUUUUAAGGCCUUUGUUGUGUCGAUGAACACCCGCCACAUUCAUACCCUCUGCACUCAUCCACUAGAAAAUAAUACAGAUUAUUGCAAAUCCUAUGUUGAUGACUGGGUUCGUUCUUGUAUGAAGUUGUUGUGUUGAAUUGCUCUGCCAUUAUUAGUAUUAUUGUAUGAGGUAUUCUUGUUUGGGUUACCCCUGUGCUGUGAUGUGGGUUUUAUAUGGUGUGUAUUCUCUUUUCUCUCCACUGGCUAUCUGGUAAACAGGCUACACUCUAGGCAGUCUCUUCUGCUGAUCUGUGUGGGUCUGGUAGUGGUACUCUCUCUAUUCUACUCUUUUGCUUUCGGCAUGGUUAAUACCUGCCUGGCGCCCGAACAAAAUCUUUCUUUACCCCUCUCUAAUAAAUACCGCUACAAGCUUGCAUUCAAUUGCCACUCCCUGUUGCAUACAACAGGCUUCCAAUUCCCCCUUUCACAACGGGAUUUAUGGCUGAUUUAAGAAGAAAUCAUCAAAACUGUUACUGUCAACACUGCAACUUUAUUUGAAGCUUAACAGGCACUUACUACAAUAUUUUUAGGGACAGUUUUAUUUUUUAAAAUAAACUUGAACAUGUGCUCUUUAUUACAGAAUGUUACAAGAUGUUAUCAAUCUACACUUCCACAAUUGGUGGAAUGACCCUGCAGAUGCAAGAUCUUAAUUUGAGACAUUUGGUACAGGGAAAUUAAAUUUGAAUUAUUAUUAUGGAUUAAAAUGAAUGGACAUUUUUGUAGGAGUUGAUACAUUUUAAGGGAAAUUCAGGUUGGACAUUUCAAAGUGAAAUUAAAAAACUUCAGAAGCCUUUUUAAACCUCAAAUACACUUACCCUGCAACCCUCAUUCAUGUGUUGUUGACACUCACUCGGAAGGGGAUUGGCAGAGGCAUAAGGUUACUGAGAGUUUCAUUAGUUAGUUAAACCAGAAGGGGAUUGGCAGAGGCAUAAGGUUACUGAGAGUUUCAUUAGUUAGUUAAACCAGAAGGGGAUUGGCAGAGGCAUAAGGUUACUGAGAGUUUCAUUAGUUAGUUAAACCAGAAGGGGAUUGGCAGAGGCAUAAGGUUACUGAGAGUUUCAUUAGUUAGUUAAACCAGAAGGGGAUUGGCAGAGGCAUAAGGUUACUGAGAGUUUCAUUAGUUAGUUAAACCAGAAGGGGAUUGGCAGAGGCAUAAGGUUACUGAGAGUUUCAUUAGUUAGUUAAACCAGAAGGGGAUUGGCAGAGGCAUAAGGUUACUGAGAGUUUCAUUAGUUAGUUAAACCAGAAGGGGAUUGGCAGAGGCAUAAGGUUACUGAGAGUUUCAUUAGUUAGUUAAGUCUGGACACUGCUAUAGCAAAUUGAAUUCCAGACUGUUUAUUUGACAUUUAGCAAACGUACUUAUCCAGAGCAAAUGGGGUUCAGUGCCUUGCUCAACGGCACAUCAACAGGUUUUUCUCCC